rnacentral:rRNA from 1 species
AACGAACGCUGGCGGCAGGCUUAACACAUGCAAGUCGAACGCACCUUUCGGGGUGAGUGGCAGACGGGUGAGUAACGCGUGGGAAUCUACCCUUCUCUACGGGAUAGCUCCGGGAAACUGGAAUUAAUACCGUAUACGUCCUGAGGGAGAAAGAUUUAUCGGGGAAGGAUGAGCCCGCGUUGGAUUAGCUAGUUGGUGGGGUAAAGGCCUACCAAGGCGACGAUCCAUAGCUGGUCUAAGAGGAUGAUCAGCCACAUUGGGACUGAGACACGGCCCAAACUCCUACGGGAGGCAGCAGUGGGGAAUAUUGGACAAUGGGCGCAAGCCUGAUCCAGCCAUGCCGCGUGAGUGUUGAAGGCCCUAGGGUUGUAAAGCUCUUUCAGUGGGGACGAUAAUGACGGUACCCACAGAAGAAGCCCCGGCUAACUUCGUGCCAGCAGCCGCCGUAACAC